AUACGUAGGGGGCGAGCGUUGUCCGGAAUGAUUGGGCGUAAAGGGCGCGUAGGCGGCGCGGUAAGUCUGGAGUGAAAGUCCUGCUUUCAAGGUGGGAAUUGCUUUGGAUACUGCCGCGCUUGAGUGCAGGAGAGGUUAUCGGAAUUCCCGGUGUAGCGGUGAAAUGCGUAGAGAUCGGGAGGAACACCAGUGGCGAAGGCGGGUAACUGGACUGCAACUGACGCUGAGGCGCGAAAGUGUGGGGAGCAAACAGGAUUAGAUACCCUGGUAGUCCACACUGUAAACGAUGAAUGCUAGGUGUAGGAGGUAUCGACCCCUUCUGUGCCGCAGUAAACACAAUAAGUAAUCCACCUGGGGAGUACGGCCGCAAGGUUGAAACUCAAAUGAAUUGGCGGGG
rnacentral:rRNA from 1 species